UCCCGAACCGGGCAGUCUCAGUAGAAAAGGCAACUACUGAUGGGGGUUGCGCUCGUUGCGGGACUUAACCCAACACCUCACGGCACGAGCUGACGACAGCCAUGCAGCAUCUGUGCACGCUCCCUUGCGGGUCCCUCCCCUUUCAGGUCAGUACCACGUGCAUGUCAAGCCUAGGUAAGGUUCUGCGCGUUGCAUCGAAUUAAACCACACGCUCCGCUGCUUGUGCGGGUCCCCGUCAAUUCCUUUGAGUUUUAGCCUUGCGGCCGUAGUCCCCAGGCGGCGAACUUAACGCGUUAGCUCCGGCGCCGAGGGGGUCGAUACCCCCGACACCUAGUUCGCAUCGUUUACGGCGUGGACUAC
rnacentral:misc_RNA from 1 species